UACGCAGGGGGCUAGCGUUGCUCGGAAUUACUGGGCGUAAAGGGAGCGUAGGCGGAUAGUUUAGUCAGAGGUGAAAGCCCAGGGCUCAACCCUGGAAUUGCCUUUGAUACUGGCUAUCUUGAGUAUGGGAGAGGUUAGCGGAACUCCGAGUGUAGAGGUGAAAUUCGUAGAUAUUGGGAAGAACACCGGUGGCGAAGGCGGCGCUCUGGACCGAGACUGACGCUGAGGCGCGAAAGCGUGGGGAGCAAACAGG
rnacentral:rRNA from 1 species